GUGGAUGGAUUGAUGGUGGGGAAAGUUUUCUUGCUGACAGAAUCAUGCCACUCAUUGUUUAUGAAGAUCUACAAUGAGAAGGAAGAAAGUCCUCAGGACCAGCUCUCAACCUGAUACUGACCACCAGCCAUGUUUUAAAAAAAAAAUCAGAAAGAACAAAUAGGAAUUAGCUUCAGAGGGAUGUGGCCUAGAAGUUAAAAGCACAGGCCUUGGAGACAAUCCAAGCUGGAGCACCCACUCUGCCAAGUACUGUGGAGCUGUGUCCCUGAAACCCACCAAGGAUGAGAAAUGUUGAUCUUCAUGAAGCCUGGCCAUCAUCAGCUCCCCAUACAGGUCCUGCUGAUCGAAACAGGGGCCCCCUGCAGUGGAAGCGUGGAGUCUUAACCACUGGACCAGCAGGUAAGUCCAAGGGUUACUUUUAGGAUCUCAAAAAAAUCUGAUAAAGAAAAGCAGCUGCAGGAAGAUUUCACUCUGC